ACAUACACUUCUUCUUUUUUUGUAAAAUACACAUACACUUUUCGUUUUCAUAUGGUUUCAGUGUUUUAUCUUCUUAACGAAUUAGUGUUCUAAUUUAAAUUUCAUGUUUAUUCUUUUGCAGGUCUAAUAGAUCCUGGGAUGAUGGGUAGCAUAAGACAGAUCGAUAAACCUUCCUGUAUUAUUUCCCGAGCACCGUAGUCUCACCAUGUGAUCAUCUCUUUAACAUAAGAGGUUUAAGCUUAAAGGACAUUUGUAUCCAUGUCUUGAACCGUAUGAGUACUAACAUGAUUAACAGAUGAAGAACUCGUGAAUUUAUAUGUUGGUGAGUGUGACAGUUGGUGUUGUAAAUGGUGUGUCUAAAAUUUCUAAAUCAUAGACGAGGUAUGCAUAACUGAGGUAUGCUUAUCACGUGUAUAUUUUAGUUAGCCAUUUUGUAAAAUUUUGAAAUUUACUUUUAAUAUAUUUUACAAGGUUCCUCUUUUAACUGAGGCAGAAGAAAGUUCGGUAAAGAAAAACCUUCUGAACUCUUACAAGAAGAGAUCAUAUGAUUUUUUUCUGUGUGUUGGUGUUUCGUUCAGAUUUUUUUAAUUUAAUUAAUUAGUGUAUUUGAUACACAUGUUAUUAGUAUGUUCUUACAUUAAACUGGCCUUAAUAAUAAUAAGAUUUUUGCUUUA